rnacentral:rRNA from 1 species
CCUACGGGCGGCAGCAGUGGGGAAUAUUGCACAAUGGGCGAAAGCCUGACGCAGCGACGCCGCGUGAGGGAUGAAGGUCUUCGGAUCGUAAACCUCUGUCAGUAGGGAAGAACGGUCACUGUGCUAAUCAGCAGUGAAUUGACGGUACCUGCAAAGGAAGCACCGGCUAACUCCGUGCCAGCAGCCGCGGUAAUACGGAGGGUGCGAGCGUUAAUCGGAAUUACUGGGCGUAAAGCGCUCGUAGGCGGUAUGUCAAGUCAAGGGUGAAAUCCCCGGGCUCAACGUGGGAACUGCAUUUGAAACUGGCAAACUUGAGUGUGUGAGAGGAUAGUGGAAUUCCAGGUGUAGGGGUGAAAUCCGUAGAUAUCUGGAGGAACAUCAGUGGCGAAGGCGACUAUCUGGCACGUAACUGACGCUGAGGAGCGAAAGCGUGGGUAGCAAACAGGAUUAGAUACCCGUGUAGUC